UGGCAGCUCUCUCUUCCUCAAUAGCAGCUGCUAUAUCUGGGUUGUCUUCCCCAUUGUACCACACUAAGAGCUCUUCCCCUGGCUCAAUUGGCUGAAAGAAUUGGAGAGACAAGUAAAACACCAAUCAGAGCUCUUCUUCUGUGUAGCACACAUCUCCAUUAACUGGAGAGAAAAUUCUUGUAAGAUCAGCGCGAUGUGAGAGAAUUGGCAUUAGAAGUACCGGUAAACACAAUAAGUUGCAGGUUGGAAGACUGCAACAUACAAUUGUUUAUCAGACAUGAGGAAAAAAUCUGCACGUCUAUGACCAACUUAAGUGCAAGUUUGAAGAGGAAACCACAGAAAAAUUACAACUGAAGACCACUGUGUUAUAAACCAUCUCAUGAACACACAACUACAAAUGCAGAACAUCAGUUGAAGUGGAUUUUAAUAAACUUUUGAUAACCGGUCAUUUUUUCAUUGGAAAAAAAAUCUAUUUAAGUGAUUAGAUCCUAGAACUUGCAUCUGAAAACCACACUGCUUACCAAGU